rnacentral:lncRNA from 1 species
AAAAAGAGCACUUCGAUCUUAUAAAACCAACUGAAAGAACCACUUCUCCUUGUUUGUAUGAAGAGAAGUCAGUAAGGAGUGACUCUCAGAAGACAACUGGAGUGAGGAUACAUGGUGCCACCAUGCCCCCACAAAGCUGAAUAAAGUCUCCCCUGGUCCAGGAUCCCAGUCCUGCCUGAGACCCAGGACAUAAAUACGUUCUAUGGUGGGAUCAGGGUCAUCAAGGUCUGCAUGGUCCCUGUUUCUCUUCUACCCUGAGCUCUUCCUUCUGACUCUCACAGCAACAGCACCUCCCAAGGUUCCAGCUUCCCUUCAAAGUCACUGUUGGAGUGUUUCUCUGACUCUACAGAAAGCACCAUUCCUGGAAUGCAGUACACUGCAGCUGCUCCGAGGCAGCCAUUUGGGGCUGAGAAAGCAGCUCUCCACUGCUUCCUCCAAAGGCAGGAGCAGUCCAGUGGCGGGACUGCCCAUGAGUCUCCUCGUCAACAGACCCUGAGCCUCUGAUGUAAGAAGCCAGAUGUGAUGGAGAUAGGUAGGCUCUGCUUACUGCCUGUCACUCUGAGAGACUGGCCUUCUCUCAAGGGAGAGCUCGACGUCACCAUUGUUGGUGAGUUUCGUUUUAGUACACCAGGUGUAAAAAUAACCGCUCAUCCCAGACUGGAGGACUCGGUUUCUGGGUGCUCUUGAGAGUCAGCCUUCCUGAGUUCUCAAACAUAUUUAAUGGGAAGUUGGGAGGGGGAGAGUUAAUGACCAUGAGCACAAAUUCACUUUCAACUGCUGUUACCAUGACAAACUGUUACCAUGACAAUUUAAAAGUUAUUUUGAACCACCAAAAAGAGUCACAGUACUCAGAACUUGUGAAGCCUAGUCCCUCUCUAUGUCACAAUGAGAAGAUUAUUGGGCCAGAACUGGCUGGGGUCAGAUACGAGCAGAUGUCUGGCACCAGCAUCUUUUGGUCCAGAAGAGCGAUUGAGGACUCAGAGUCAGGAGCUUCCCUGAGUCUGAGGAAAGGGACAGGAGAAAUUAGGAGGGCUCCUUGGUUUCUGCUUGUGCUAGAACAUCCUGUAGCCACCAACCCAGAAGCCAUGGCUCAGCGUACAGUCCUUCCUUGAGCACUGCUUCAGGCCUGAGCCAAGGGCCUGUGGAGAGGGGGUCUGACAGGGCUGUGUACGCC